GCCAUGAUUUUGGAAACAGAUCUUCCCUUCGGGGCUUAUUUACAAGGUGCUGCAUGGUUGUCGUCAGCUCGUGCCGUGAGGUGUCGGGUUAAGUCCCAUAACGAGCGCAACCCUUACUGUUAGUUGCCAACGGGUAAAGCCGGGGACUCUAGCGGGACUGCCACCGUAAGGUGAGAGGAAGGUGGGGAUGACGUCAAAUCAGCACGGCCCUUAUGUCCAGGGCUACACACGUGUUACAAUGGCCGGUACAAAGGGCAGCUACCUGGUGACAGGAUGCUAAUCCCAAAAGCCGGUCCCAGUUCGGAUUGGAGUCUGCAACCCGACUCCAUGAAGUUGGAUUCGCUAGUAAUCGCGCAUCAGCCAUGGCGCGGUGAAUACGUUCCCGGGCCUU
rnacentral:rRNA from 1 species